rnacentral:rRNA from 1 species
UGGCGAACGGGUGAGUAACACGUGGGUGAUCUGCCCUGCACUCUGGGAUAAGCCUGGGAAACUGGGUCUAAUACCGGAUAUGAGCUCCUGUCGCAUGGCGGGGGUUGGAAAGGUUUACUGGUGCAGGAUGGGCCCGCGGCCUAUCAGCUUGUUGGUGGGGUAAUGGCCUACCAAGGCGACGACGGGUAGCCGGCCUGAGAGGGCGACCGGCCACACUGGGACUGAGACACGGCCCAGACUCCUACGGGAGGCAGCAGUGGGGAAUAUUGCACAAUGGGCGAAAGCCUGAUGCAGCGACGCCGCGUGAGGGAUGACGGCCUUCGGGUUGUAAACCUCUUUCAGCAGGGACGAAGCGAGAGUGACGGUACCUGCAGAAGAAGCACCGGCCAACUACGUGCCAGCAGCCGCGGUAAUACGUAGGGUGCGAGCGUUGUCCGGAAUUACUGGGCGUAAAGAGCUCGUAGGCGGUUUGUCGCGUCGUCCGUGAAAACUUGGGGCUCAACCCCAAGCUUGCGGGCGAUACGGGCAGACUUGAGUACUGCAGGGGAGACUGGAAUUCCUGGUGUAGCGGUGAAAUGCGCAGAUAUCAGGAGGAACACCGGUGGCGAAGGCGGGUCUCUGGGCAGUAACUGACGCUGAGG